CCUACGGGAGGCAGCAGUGAGGAAUAUUGGUCAAUGGGCUUACGCCUGAACCAGCCAAGUCGCGUGAGGGAAGACUGCCCUAUGGGUUGUAAACCUCUUUUGUCAGGGAGCAAUUGGCGCUACGUGUAGCGUUAUCGAGAGUACCUGAAGAAAAAGCAUCGGCUAACUCCGUGCCAGCAGCCGCGGUAUUACGGAGGAUGCGAGCGUUAUCCGGAUUUUUUGGGUUUAAAGGGUGCGUAGGCGGUAUGCCAAGUCAGCGGUAAAAUCGCGGGGCUCAACCUCGCUCCGCCGUUGAAACUGGCGUUCUUGAGUGGGCGAGAAGUAUGCGGAAUGCGUGGUGUAGCGGUGAAAUGCAUAGAUAUCACGCAGAACUCCGAUUGCGAAGGCAGCAUACCGGCGCCCAACUGACGCUGAAGCACGAAAGCGUGGGUAUCGAACAGGAUUAGAUACCCUUGUAGUC
rnacentral:rRNA from 1 species